rnacentral:rRNA from 1 species
UAAGGGCGCACGGUGGAUGCCUUGGCACUAGAAGCCGAUGAAGGACGUUACUAACGACGAUAUGCUUUGGGGAGCUGUAAGUAAGCUUUGAUCCAGAGAUUUCCGAAUGGGGAAACCCAGCAUGAGUUAUGUCAUGUUAUCGAUAUGUGAAUACAUAGCAUAUCAGAAGGCACACCCGGAGAACUGAAACAUCUUAGUACCCGGAGGAAGAGAAAGAAAAUUCGAUUCCCUUAGUAGCGGCGAGCGAAACGGGAAGAGCCCAAACCAACAAGCUUGCUUGUUGGGGUUGUAGGACACUCUAUACGGAGUUACAAAGGACGACAUUAGACGAAUCAUCUGGAAAGAUGAAUCAAAGAAGGUAAUAAUCCUGUAGUCGAAAAUGUUGUCUCUCUUGAGUGGAUCCUGAGUACGACGGAGCACGUGAAAUUCCGUCGGAAUCUGGGAGGACCAUCUCCUAAGGCUAAAUACUCUCUAGUGACCGAUAGUGAACCAGUACCGUGAGGGAAAGGUGAAAAGCACCCCGGAAGGGGAGUGAAAUAGAACCUGAAACCGUGUGCUUACAAGUAGUCAGAGCCCGUUAAUGGGUGAUGGCGUGCCUUUUGUAGAAUGAACCGGCGAGUUACGAUUUGAUGCAAGGUUAAGCAGUAAAUGUGGAGCCGUAGCGAAAGCGAGUCUGAAUAGGGCGUUUAGUAUUUGGUCGUAGACCCGAAACCAGGUGAUCUACCCUUGGUCAGGUUGAAGUUCAGGUAACACUGAAUGGAGGACCGAACCGACUUACGUUGAAAAGUGAGCGGAUGAACUGAGGGUAGCGGAGAAAUUCCAAUCGAACCUGGAGAUAGCUGGUUCUCUCCGAAAUAGCUUUAGGGCUAGCCUCAAGUGAUGAUUAUUGGAGGUAGAGCACUGUUUGGACGAGGGGCCCCUCUCGGGUUACCGAAUUCAGACAAACUCCGAAUGCCAAUUAAUUUAACUUGGGAGUCAGAACAUGGGUGAUAAGGUCCGUGUUCGAAAGGGAAACAGCCCAGACCACCAGCUAAGGUCCCAAAAUAUAUGUUAAGUGGAAAAGGAUGUGGCGUUGCCCAGACAACUAGGAUGUUGGCUUA